rnacentral:rRNA from 1 species
GAUGAACGCUGGCGGCGUACCUAAUACAUGCAAGUCGAGCGAACGGACGAGAAGCUUGCUUCUCUGAUGUUAGCGGCGGACGGGUGAGUAACACGUGGAUAACCUACCUAUAAGACUGGGAUAACUUCGGGAAACCGGAGCUAAUACCGGAUGAUAUUUUGAACCGCAUGGUUCAAAAGUGAAAGACGGUCUUGCUGUCACUUAUAGAUGGAUCCGCGCUGCAUUAGCUAGUUGGUAAGGUAACGGCUCACCAAGGCAACGAUGCAUAGCCGACCUGAGAGGGUGAUCGGCCACACUGGAACUGAGACACGGUCCAGACUCCUACGGGAGGCAGCAGUAGGGAAUCUUCCGCAAUGGGCGAAAGCCUGACGGAGCAACGCCGCGUGAGUGAUGAAGGUCUUCGGAUCGUAAAACUCUGUUAUUAGGGAAGAACAUAUGUGUAAGUAACUGUGCACAUCUUGACGGUACCUAAUCAGAAAGCCACGGCUAACUACGUG